rnacentral:lncRNA from 1 species
AUUUUAUGUUAUACCCCUGCUCUGUCCAUUAGUCUUUCGUAUCUCAUUUUUCUCUUUAACAACAAUUCAUUAUUUGUUAUAUGGCUUCAUUUUAAGGUGGUACCUAACACCUUGACUAAAAGUGAUUUGGCUCGUUUAAUUUUCAUAAACUUUUGACAAAACCUUUACAUUGACCCUUUGACUAAAAUAUAAAAAUUUCAUAAAAUUUGAAUCAGACACGUAAUCGGAAAAAAAUGGUUGGAUAAAUAUCAGUUUGACUAACACUAAUUUUAAUCAUUGAAAAGCUUUUAAUAUUUCCUUAACAAUACAAUGUCAUUAAAACGUUUAGUUGAUUUUACAGAGUUAUCUCCCUGUAUUGUUAGGUACCACCUUAAUUUUUAUAAUGCCUUCGUCCUUUAGUAUAUUCCAAAAUUUGUUUCUGUUCGGUAAUUGUAGUUUUCCAUAUGAGCCUUAUACACAAUGCUUUUUACCACAAAACACUGAUCAAGUUCAUUAGUGUGUGGCAUCACAUUAACAGUUCUCCAGUUAUUUCUCGUCAUAUCAUUAUAAACAAGUGCGAGCAUCAUUGUUUUUCCACAAUCUCAACAUUUGCUGUUGUUAAAUAAGACUAGUUGCAGCACAAUAAAUAAGUUGGGUUAAAAAAUGGCUUUUUGGAUCAUAGAUUUAUUCUUAUGAGGAAACUCCAAUUAUACAAGGAGGAUGGUCAUAUAUAGCUUUUUAAAAAGGCUCAUCUCAGCAAUGUAUGUAAAAAUCAUUAUUAAGUUUCAUGUAAAAGUAAAAUAAAAAAAAUCCUUAUAACCGAGCAAAAUUCAAAACCAAUUUCUCUAAACAAAUGGCAAAAUCAAAAGCUCAAACACAUCAUACCAAUGGAUAACAAGUGUUAUAUUCCUUACUUGGUACAGGCAUUUUCUUAUGUAUAAAAUGGCGGAUUUAACCUAUUUCUAAAGCUAACUAAACCUCUUACUUGUCUGACAGUCACAAACAAUUCCAUUUUAUUGACAGCAAUGUGUGAACAAAACAAGCAGACAUAAUAGGUACAAAUGUCAUAGAUAGGGGUACAGCAUUCAAAACUGUGUUAUAAUUUUAAUCACUAUAAAAUCAAACAAAUAUAUAUCAAAAACAGCUAGAUAUAACAACCAAAUCUAUACCAACCUCAGAUCAUGCUUAGGACUUCUAUGAUCUCUUAAACAUGUCAUUAUUUUAUGCCUUUGAAGCACACUGCAUUGAAACUUAAUAAUGUAAGGGUUGUCUUUUAGAGAAAAAUACCUAUCUUUCUGAAAGAAAGUAACUUCAUAUAGGAAAUAUAUAAGUGAAAGUGGUUAAACAAAAAAUAAAGUAUUGAAAAAUAUGUUCUUUUCUACAUAUGAAAUAGUAAGGCACACAAAACUAUUGAGUAGACAUACCAUAAACCAUUUGAAAAUAUAACACAUUCUUCAAAAAAGACAUAUUAGUUUCUUUAUCUUUCAAAUAUUUAAGAAUUGAAAGCUUCUUUUUGUAAAAGCAUUGUUUGAAGUACAUUUUGUAUGAAUCACAGAAGUGCAUCUUCCAAAAAUAUAGGCAGAGUCAACGCUUUUACAACCCUAUGAAACUACUUAAAGAAGCAUUUAAUACCUAGAAUUACAUUUUUGGCUAGGAUCACAUUAACACAAUUUUUAUCAAGUUUUUCUUUUAUUUACCUGUGCACUGAAUUGUAGAAACUGGUGUCAUUUUGAAAUUUACAUUCAUUUUGAAAUGAAGAUUAAUUUCAGAAUGACGCGAGAUUGCUGUUAACCAAUCAAAAUAAUGUAUCAUGAUGAAACAUACAUGUAAUAUUAUUGUAUAUAUAUGUACAUUACCA